ACCUGUGCCCCACGCUGUACCCUCUAAGAAUUCUAACCACUCGCCUUCCCCUGUGCGCUCCACUGAAUCUCUGCCCCGACGACUGCCAGCUAUUGAAUUCACAGGUGGCCGGCCAGUUCCCUUUGCGAGAGGUUGCAGCUGGGAAGGAUAUUAUCCAGGUAGCCAUUCUCUCUCACUUUCUGAUCUUCCUCAAAUUGAAAAAUGCCUUGGCUCUUUCUCUUCAGACCCUCUUAACCAGCAGCCACUUUCUCUCCUAUCCCUGAGAGCCCAAAUCUUGAGAAUGUGAGCUCCAAAACAGCCUUUCCCCUCUAACAGUCAUUCUCAGGCCACCCACAGACUGCCUUCCUCAACAGCCUCUUCCCUUUCUGUAUCCAUUCUACCCCUGAGGGAGGCAGCAGGAACUGAGGGCAUAGUCCAAGUCCAUGUCCCAUUCUCUCCUUCCAGCUCCUAGCCACCCACUUCAUUUCUCAGUCAUCCCAAGAUAUUUGAAAAAAAGUUAAAAAAGGCUGAGAAUGGCCUUCAGACCCUGGGCUGAGAUCUAGUGAACAUGGCCUUUAAGGUUUUUAAUGCCCGUGAGGAGCAGGCAGAGUCAGAUCGGGAGGCCUGCCUUCGACAGAAGGUAGACCUGCAAACACAAGUCCUGGUUGCAGCCCUGCGGCCAACGGCAGCCACCCAUGGUUCCAAGGGGGCUGUGCGCAGUGGGGGUGCAACGAGAGGAUGAACGCCACCUGGAGAAUGCUUCAAAUGCGGAAAUGAAGGCCACUGGGCAAAGCAGUGCCCCUGGCCCCGGGUUCCAACCAAGCCCUGCCCGGCGUGCGGUCAAAGUGGUCACUGGAAAAGUGACUGCCCCUGGAAAGGUGGCGGGCCCUCUGCACCCUAGCGUGGAGGGGCCGCCCUUCCAGGUCAUGUCCCACCGCUGGCCAUGCUGGGACUGGCGGAAGACUGAAGGAGCCGGGACUCGACGACCCCCAUCACCCUUGCCGAGCCCAGGGUCACGCUGAAGGCUCUUACCUGGCAAGGGACCCUCCGAUUUUUACUCUGGAAGAAGCUCAGAAAUUCGCAGCUCCUGGCUGAACCUCCUGCCCAUGGCCCUGACCAGAAUCUGGGCUACACCAAGGAGCCCCACCUUCUUAAGCCCUUUUGAACUUCUAUAUGGGAGACCCUUCUUGCUCAACCACUGUCUCCCUACUGAUCCUCCUCCCCUGGGUACGUAUCUCCCAUAUCUGUCCUUACUCAGGCAGCUGCUCCAAGAAUAUGUGGACAGGUUUCUGCCCAAGCCAGAGCUGACCGACCAGGGCUCCAGAGGACCAGCCCUUCACCCUGUUGACUCGGUCCUCCUUAUGAAUCUACAUCCAAAAGCCUUGGUGCAUAGGUGGACGGGACCUCACACUGUAAUCCUCACAAACCCAACUGCGGCCAAGCUGCUUGGUGACCCAUUGUGGCACCACCUCUCCAGACUCGAGGACCCCGGAGCAGCACGACUUCUAUAAAUGUGAGGUGUUGGGCCCCACUAAGGUCCGCCCUAGUUGCCCUCCCCCUCCUUCUUCUCCUCCCGGCCCUGAGUAACCUACACCCACCCCCACCCACUUAUGUGUGGAGGCUCAAGGUCUGUGAUGCCUCCCAAAACUCCAGAGUGCACCCUGCCCCCAUGGAUGUGCUACCAGACCAGUAAUCCGAUAACUGGGGGACGAGUCACUUGGAACUGUACCCCAACCACACCGCAGCCAGUCUCACCAAGGCCAGCCCGGGUACCUUCUUUUGGUGCAACAGCACCUUAAGCAACUGCAUGAACUCCUCUGACCCCGGGCCUUGCUUCAUAGACACAGUAGUUCCCCAACUAACCUUGUAUGGAGAGUUGGAGCUUGCCUGGCUGCUCCCUUCAUCCUGCCCCCAGGCCCGCCAUGUUAGGGGUGAGUAUCGCUGCCUCAGUAGGCGUUGCCAGGGGGGCCCUCGGGAACAGUCUGGUCUCUGCUCAGGAUUUCAAUGACAAGCUCCAGUUAGCUCUGGAGUCUAAUACUGCCUCUUUAGCCUCCCUGCAGUGGCAGGUAAUAUCAGCAGCCCAGGUAGCCCUACAGAACCAGCAUGCCUCAGACCUUCUGACUGCAGAAAAAGGAGGAACCUGCAUAUUCCUUCAGGAGGAAUGCUGCUACUACAUCGAUGAGUCCGGAGUAGUGGAGCAAAACGUGCAGAAGAACUACAUGCAAGACACUCCUGGGACAACUCUCUUUUCAGCUGGUUCCAAAGCUCCUUAGCUACCUGGGUCCUACCCAUGAUAGGGCCCCUGAUUCUUAUCUGUGUCUUUUUUUCUCCUAGCCCCCUGCCUCCUCAAAUUCAUCUGCUCCUGGAUCGUGGAGAUGUCACGGGUGACUGUAAAUCAGCUCCUGCUUCAUCCCUACACUCGACUACUCUCCGACCUGCCUCUGCCUAACCCUGGCCUUUAAACCCCUCCAUUCCUUCCCCCCCCCCCCCCCCUCGCCCAUCAUCCCUGGUCAGCUGGAAGUAGUCAGAACGAACUGGCGCCCCCUAUCACCAAAAAGCUGGGAUGUUAGGUCAACAUGCUGACCCCCACAGCGGGAACUUCCUCAGCUGAAUACCGUGACGACCCCCCGCGGCAGGAACUUCCUUAGCUCAUGCCCCCUGCCCCUCAUUAAACACCUGUAUGAAUAGGAGCCCCCCCUUCCCUGUUGGCGUGAAUUCACUGGCCCUGCCUUUGGGGCUCGUGGAUUUCGCCCAAGGACGCGGAUUAAACCUUUUCUUUUCUUUCUUCUC